GGCUUUGUAGUGUAGCGGUUAUCACUCAAAUUUUGAAUCUCAAAUUCUUGUAACCCCAGUUCGAGUCUGGGCAAGGCCU
rnacentral:tRNA from 1 species